rnacentral:lncRNA from 1 species
AAGGGGACUCGGUGGCAGGGGCAGCCCCUCCUGUCCCUGGACAGGAGUACGAGGAACGUGCUGGGGGCAGCCUCGUUCCAGGCUGGGGAUGCUGUGGUUGUCACUGGCUGGACUGGUGGCCCUGGAGGACAAGGCCCAGGAUGGCUGGGAGGCCCUUCUGGACCCCAAAUAUCCUAAUGAUCUGGGAAGCGGGGAGCAAGAGGCCCAGGAGGGGCCUCCAGUAGAGAUGCGCCCUCGGAGAUCGGAGGAUGCUGGCCAGGCUGUGCCACCCACAGCCCAGGCACAUGGGCAAAGCUAAGCUGAGUGCUUCUGAGGACGCAGGCAGGAGCGCCCCAGCUGCGUGCAGGGGGUGGUCUCCACACGAGCCCCUGGGACAAGCAGCCUUUCCCAUCCUCCUGACACACACCUGUGAGGGCACCACGUUCCCGAGAGAGGCCAGGAACCUAUGGGCAGGGCCAUGGGACCCUCCCCAGGAUCAGCUGGGCCCAGAAACCCUCCGUGGGCCACAGGCUCCUGUCUCUGGGGAGGACAGGGACCAUCCCUGUUGACACCGUCUGGACCCCAGCACCGGCCCUCUGACCCAUGAGCAGGGCAUGGGGAAGAAGGAACGGGCACGCCGUGUGGCCAUGGCCCUCACCUGGCCCUGGGGUGACUGGACGAAGAGGUGGGAUGGUGCAGGUGUGAGGCCAUUUUGGCCUCCUGGGGCCCUGGUUCAGCAACCAAGCCAAGCAGCCUCCGUAACUGGCAGGGGGCCUGGCCCUGCAGCUCCAGGCCUGGGGGCACCUGCCGGCUGAGGGAAGCCCUAAAGACUGGGGACACACAGGCUGUCUACCUCACCCACCCCUCAGCCUGUGAGGGCAACAAGGCCAUCCCAGGGGCCUCCUUUCAAGGACAGAAGCAUCUCAACAAAUGCUCCCAGAGCCCCACCAGCACCAGCCCUGCCAGGGGCACCAGGAGGAAGGGCGCUGCUCUGCACAGUGAGACGGCCCUCCUCCUCCUCCUGGCCUUGCCCCUCAGUGGCAGCUGAGUCACACCAGCCUCUGGGGCGUCUCCACCCCUCUCCACCCCUCCCCUGCCCCGUCUCCACCCCUCACUGGGUUCCAUCCCUUGAGCUCCCCCCCUCCCUCCCUCCCUCCCUCCCGGGCUCCAC